CAAAGGCAUCGCUGGGUAGCUAUGUAGGGAAGGGAUAAACGCUGAAAGCAUCUAAGUGUGAAACCCACCUCAAGAUGAGAUUUCCCAUAACGUUAUGUUAGUAAGAGCCCUGAGAGAAGAUCAGGUAGAUAGGUUAGGAGUGGAAGUUGUGUGAGCAAUACUAAUAGCUCGAGGACUUAUCCAAA
rnacentral:rRNA from 1 species